CAUCAAUCAAGUGCCCACCUCGCCUCGAAAUGUGGAACGUACGCAGUGCGGAGCAGCUCCUCCACAGUUCACCAGGAAAAGGGGAACGGGAGUUGGUGGAGAAUCGAGAAUCUCCAAAUGUUACCCCCCUGGCCAGAACAGAAAUCCCCUCAGCACAGGAAUGGAGACCAAUCUAAUCCGAGUAAAGGACUGGUGGCUCAGGAAAUUUGGCAUAUCCAUAAGGACCUUCACCAACUUCUACAGAUGCAACGUGGAAAGCAUUCUAUCCCGGUGCAUAAUGGCUUGGUAUGGCAACUGCUCUGCCCAGGACAGUUAGAAACUACGGAAGAUGAUGUGCACAGCCCAGACCAUCAGGGAAGCCAACCUUCCAUCCAGGGAUUCCAUUUACACAUCUCGUUGCCGCAGGAAGGCAGUCAACAUCAUCAAAGACCCCUCCCAUCCUGGUUAUAACCUCUUUCAACCUCUUCCGUCAGGCAGAAGGUACAAAAGCUAAAACAUAUGGACCAACAGGUUCAAGAACAGCUUCUUCCCUGCUGUUAUUAGGCUGCUGAAUGGACCUCUCUAACGUCAAAUCAAAUAUUGAUCUUGCUUUUGUGCAGUCCAUGUGCAGCUGUAACCUUGUACGCUUCUGUCUAAACACCCUGUGAUCUGUAUAUGGAGAUAGUAGGAACUGCCGAUGCUGGAGAAUGUGAGAUAACAAGGUGUAGAGCUGGAUGAACACAGCAGGCCAAGCAGCAUCAGAGGAGCAGGAAAGCUGACGUUUUGGGUCUAGGCCCGAAACGUCAGCUUUCCUGCUCCUCUGGUGCUGCUUGGCCUGUUGUGUUCAUCCAGCUCUACACCUUGUUAUGUCAUGAUCUGUACAUGUCCUUGUUUGCUAUGAUUUGCCUGAACUGUUUGCAAAACAAAGCUUUCACCGUACUUAGGUACAUGCGACACCAAUAAAUCAAAUCAAAAUCAG